CGAGGAGAUUCCUUCCUGAUACAGGGCUGAAACCUGCCUCUCUGAAACGUCCGCCUGUGUGUCACAGAGCUUGGGCAAUAUGUUUGUAACCUUCAAAGAUGCCAAAGAAGAAUGGGGUGACACGACAUUCACUUGUCUAUCUAUAGCUCACCAGUUCUAUGACUUUAGGCAGGGAGAAGUCAAAAUCCACAUUUGUACAGGCUAAGCCACAACUAGGCAAUAUACAGUUGUGCCAAAGUCUCCAAAUCCACAGGUCUCAGGUUUCCACUCUUUCAAGGUAAAGUCUUCUUCCAAUCCCUGGGAAUUAUAUCAUAGGUGAUCAAAACUUUGAAAGUUUCUGAGUUUGAGAACUAGGAAAUAGCUUCCAAGAGGGAGCAGAAUUCUUCAAGAAUGAAGACAGUUGUCAUUGCAGCCCUUAUAACUGGAGGACUAGAGCCACAUUAUGAGGUCCAGGAGAUCUGGAACUUGCCAACCCCGACUACUACCAUGGGCUGCUUAGACAAUGUGGUUCAGAUCAAUUGUGAGAGAAGAUUGUUUUUUUCUCCAAAGUAUACUCACUUUCUAGGAGGGUUGCAUGGGUUGUUUGAACACUUCAUAUUUCUGUAUCUAUUCGUGGGUUCCUAUGAAUCUUUUGCAUCUUAUGCACCUU